GACGAACGCUGGCGGCGUGCCUAAUACAUGCAAGUUGAGCGAUGAAGAUUGGUGCUUGCUCCUAUUUGAAGAGCAGCGAACGGGUGAGUAACGCGUGGGUAAUCUGCCUUUGAGCGGGGGACAACAUUUGGAAACGAAUGCUAAUACCGCAUAACAACUUUAAACAUAAGUUUUAAGUUUGAAAGAUGCAAUUGCAUCACCCAAAGAUGAUCCCGCGUUGUAUUAGCUAGUUGGUGAGGUAAAGGCCCACCAAGGCGAUGAUACAUAGCCGACCUGAGAGGGUGGUCGGCCACAAUGGGACUGGGACACGGCCCAAACCCCUUCGGGAGGGAACAGUAGGGGAUCUUCGGCAAUGGACGGAAGGCUGAACGGGCAACGCCGGGUGAGGGGAGAAGGGUUUCGGAUCGGUAAACUCGGUUGGUAGAGAAGAACGUUGGUGAGAGUGGAAAGCUCAUCAAGUGACGGUAACUACCCAGAAAGGGACGGCUAACUACGUG
rnacentral:rRNA from 1 species